AUGUUUUCUACCCUUUUUUUUUUUAAUCUUUUUGUCUCUCUGUGUUUCAUUUUGUAUGGUUUCCAUUAUAUCUUCAAGUUUACUCAUCUUUUCUUCUCCCCUGUCUAAUCUGCCAUUAAUCCUGAGUAUAUUUUUACAUCAGAGACAUUGUAGUUUUUCUCUCUAGAAUUUCAAUUUGGGUCUUCUUUAUUAUGGAAAUCCAUGUCUCUACUUAACCUAUUCAGUCUUUCAAUUUGUUCCUUGAACAUACAAAUACAGUUAUAAUAACUUUUAAUUUCUUGUUCCGUUUUAAUUGGUUGAGUUUAUCCUCAUUUUAGGUUUCAUUUUCCUGCUUAUUUGUAUGCCUGGUAAUUAUCUCUUGGAUGCCAGGCAUUAUGAAUUUUACCUUGUUGGGUCCUGGAAAGUUUUGUAAUCCUGUUAGAUAUAGGGUUCUUAAAGUUUGUUCUGGGACGUGAUUAUGUUACUUGGGAACAGUUUGAAUUUUCUUGGUCUUGUUUUUUAAGCUUUUAAAAGCAGAGCCAGAGCCAUGUUUAGAGUUCGUUCCAGGUUAAUUUUUCCCGUAACUGAGGCAUAUGCUUGAGAGUACUCUUUGAUACCACAGGAAUUAUGGGGAGUUGCACUCUGGCUGUUCAGAAUAGACAAUAUUUUCAGUCUUAUGUGCAUUUCCUGAUCUUUUCAGGUGACUCUUUUGUUUGAGUAUUUUCCUUACACGCAUGAUCAAUUCUUACCUAAAACUUGAGGAGGGCUCUCUGAGAUUUCUGGACUUCUCUAUGUGUAGGUCUCUCUUUUCUGGUCUACCCUGCAUACUCUAUCCAGUUUGACUUAACCACACUUCUGCUCCAUCUCCUCAACUCAGGAAGAUCACAGAACUUCACCAGUUCCCCUACUGGCACUGCUGCCUGGAAAUUCCUCAAGGCAAUAAGCUUGGGCAAAUGUAGGGUUCAUCUCAUUUGUUUUUCCUCUCUCAGAGAUCACUGUCCUUUGUUUCCUAAUGUCUCAGGAACUAUUGUUUUAUAUGUUUUGUCCAGUUUCUUAGAUAUUUCAAAUUGGAUUGUAGAUCUGAUUCCUGCUCUUCCCUUCUUAUUUGGAGACAGAAAUCCCAGCUAUCUUCUAGAAGCUAGAUAUUAAAGGGAUUUGCAAAGAUUUAAAGCAGUACUACUCUUUAAGCAGAUUUUUGUUUGUUUGGGAAAGUACGGUUUUUAGAACAAUAUCUAGAUUAGCAUGUAGUUGGUUUAUUAUCAUUAUCCUUAAGGACUUAUUUUUUUUCUGUUUUAAUUUUGAACAUAGGAAAUAUUGAUAAAUAUAACCCAUGUAAACAAAAGGUUUUGGGGUUCCUCAGUAAUUUUUAAGAGUGUAAAGUGAUUCUGAGACCCAAAAGUCUGAGAACAGUUGAUCUAAAUGUACUGAAGUGGUUACUAUGGGUGCUUGAGCAUAGAAGUUGGGAAGGGCAUGGGUACAAAGAUAAGAAGACCCAAAAGCAGAUAGAAGAGGGAGGAAGAACAGUCGAGUGAAAGAAGCCACACGGCUCCUGAGAGACACAGGAAAUAACAUAGAUUCUUCAUUUUCUAGCUACUGUCUGGGUAUUUGUGAGGCCCAGUUAUUCCUCCUGCCCUUAGGAUCUCUGAGAUAGUACUAAAAAUAAAUUCCAUUUUUUUCCCUUAAAGAGAAAAAAGAAACUGGAGGGAAAAUUUAAAACUCCAUGGUAGUCUGAAAAGGAAUUUAUUUUAGGAGUCCAUGGUCCUUUUGGAAUCCAGAGUUAUAGUGCUAUGACAAAGACUGAUACUGUUGGUGAUACUCCUGCAGAGGCCAGCAGAUUGCAUGUCUGUGGUGUGGAAAAGGAAAUUCUAGUUUUGUGGUUUGGUUAUUUUCAGUAUGCUGGUUGGUUAAUUGGCAUAGACUGUUGGGAGAACCAGGACCUUCUCUCACCUCACUCUCUAAUCUUGGCCAUACCUCUCUGGGACUUAGUUUCUCCAUGAUUACAAAGUAGGAGUCAGAAGCCUUUCUAGGUUUUUGCAAGUGACAGAAAUGUACAUCAAAUCACAGAAGAGCAUUUAUUGACUCAUAUAACUGGGAAGCAAACUGAGCUAGUACUGGCUCUGACACAGUUGAAUUCAGGUGUUCAGACUGUCAUCCUGGCUUCACUCUAUUGUGCUCUCCCCUCUUCCUAUCCCUUCCCAUUUUUUGCCCAUUCCCUUCUACUUAGCUCUGUUUGCUUUGUUCUCCACUCAGCCUCAUAAUAGCCACCAGAUGUUCUAAGCUCAUGUGGACCUUUGGGCUUGAGCUUUUGAGCCCAGAGAUAGAAACAUAGAUGUACUCUCUCCCUGCGUCCGCAGACCCAGUCCCUUGGAGCCUCUUUCAUUGACUUCAUUUGGGCCACAUGCCCAUGCUUUGAACCGAUGACCUUAGGCAGGACAGUGGAGAACCUUGACUAGCCAGACUGGCUUAUGUGCCCACUCCUUUGGCAGGGAGUGCAGGAAAAACUAGUAUUGUCACUUUCUUCAGAACCACAUAGAAUGAGACAGGGGCAGCUCAGUGACCAGAACGGGGCUGAACAGACUGCAGCUGGCACCCUUGAAGUGUUGUGAAGUGAAGCAAACUAUGCCUAUCAUCUGUUUGUCAAUCAGAAAGAAAUACAACCAUAUAGGUAUUACACCAUUGUUGGGAAUUUGACAUUUUCUUCUGAGUCCCCCAGUUCUCUUCUUAGGAGCAGUUUUGUCUUUCUCUAUUGCUCUUCAAGUAUUUCAUCCGUACGGUUUAGAUUUCAUCUUUCCUCUGAGGCCUUUUGCCAACUUUUGUUAUAUCAAGAGUAGAGUCAUCUGUACCCAGAGCAUUCCCACUCAGUGAUUUUCAUUCCUGCCAACAUGCUUCCUUUCAAGUCUAAAUCUUUUCUACCUGAAUCUGUUCUUUAACCCUGAUGUAUAACAGAGAUGUAGAGUCAGAGUUGGUUUUAAAAGACUACAAAUCAGUAAAAAAGCAAAGAGGAUGAUCUCUGAAUAUGGAGUCCUCAUCAGAUUUAAUAUUUAGUUGGGUAAUCACGUCCACCCUCUUUGGGAGUGCAAAGUAGAGUGAACACGUAGGUGAAGGAUUCACUCCUGGCGCCAGACAUACUUAGUAUGCAAGACAUACUCUGUUCUCUCUGAAGUGACAGCCUUUAGUAAAAUCUCUCUCUACUAAUCCACUUUGUAAUCUCAUUUUUGUGUUUGUCACUCCAGAAGAACUGAACAAAAAUGGAGAGUUUGAAUUUGUUUACUCAUAAAAAUAAGAUCUAUAAUGUCAUUUUGGUCAUAUUUUAGGAUGCAGCUUAUCACCUGUAGAUUGGUACUAUCAAAAUGAAAAGGCAGUAUGCCAGCUGGUUAUUAUAUUCUAGAAUAUUCAAGCAAAGACAUUUGCUUUUGUAAUUAAAUGUAGGAUCCUUGAUCUUGCAUAGAUCCAGUGAAGGCUUACUCUUCAGUCAGAGAUAAGAAAUCUGGUAUUCACGUGUGUGCCUUUAAAUGGGUGGGUUGCUGGAAAGAAACACUUCAAGAAGUUAGCAGUUGUCUGGAGAUGAAAAUGUGUGCAUUAAUUUUCUUUAUUCUCUACUAUCCACCUAUGCUGAAUUUUGAAAGUUCUUGGCAUAUUUCUAAAUUAUGUUUAAGCUAGACAUAUCUACUGAAUGAAACUGACUGACACCCAGAAAACCUCCUUGGCUUGAACUCCCAUCUGGGCACUCUUGAUCUGCCUUGACUUUGCAGGACAGGUCCCAGUGUAAUCUAGCAUGUGUACUCACCUUUGCUGUACAGUUAGGGCUGGAGGAGACUUGUCUUCACGGGCACCAUAAGACCUCUUAGGACAAAUGAGAGGCGACUCUGGAGCUUAAGUUCAAGUCUCCAGUUCCCAAGGUUUCUGACUGCAUCAAAAAGAAAUUUCCUCUAACUCAUGAGAGUAAGGGCUGGGAUGGGAGAGUGAGCACCUCUGUAAGUGGGGAGGUUGAGCCACAGGCACCCUGCCCCGACAGCAGACCUCUCUGCUCAGGCUUUUACCUAGUCUACACUCCCUAUGUGCCAGCACGACACCGGGCUCAUCUCUUCGUAAUGCCUUUUCGCUCAGGUAUCAGGUUUGGACAAGAUCUGCCCAACACAGAGCCCCGGUGACAAAGAGUGGCCCUCACAUCUCUGACCCAGCCUGGGGGAACUGCUCCUUCUGACUCACAGUCUGCUUGUUCAGGUUCUCAUUAAAGCUGUCCUUGAUCUCCACAACUUCCUGCCGACUGCUGCUGAGAAAUCUGACUCCCGGAGCUCUGUCAAGGGCAGGUCUGUAUGUACUCAGCUUGAAAGAGCCAGAAGUCAGGGCCUGAGUGUAGAGGUGGCCGGGAGGGCACUGCUGGGUAAGGCAGCAUGGGAGGGCACCUGGAGUGGCAUUGUCAGGUCUCCUGGUGGCUUAGAAAGCUCUUCUCAAGGAGCCACACUACCUGGUAGAUAAGUCUGACAGCCCACUUUUUUCUCUGACUCCUUGUCCCCCAUCUGUAAACCCUUCACAAUGCCCCAGACAUGCAAUUAAAUACUAAUUUUAAAAUCAGGUUUUAUCUAAGCUCCUUAUGGGUUAUUUCUGCUCCCACAGAGGUACAAGAAACUCCAAUAGCACACUAAUUACACCCCACUUGAUAGGAGGCAGCCUGGGAGGUUGAGGUGCACAGGGCAGCUUUCAUACCUACCCUGCUAGGAGGUUUCAAUGCUUAUUAUUUCUUAGGUCUCUGAGAUUUUUGUUGCAGUUUCACCAUAGUAUAGAGAGUGCCCUGUAUCACAGUGCUGGGCUAAGAUGGAUUUCUUUCUUUUUUUAUUUUUAUUUUUUUUAAACCAUGCUUUUUCAGGCACUGUGGAAUAUAGUUCCUGGCAUUUAAGAGAAGGUGCCUGUUGGACUCUGAAUAAAGCCAUUUCCUCUGCAAUUAGAGACUUUGGCUCAAAAAAGACCUUUUCUGAGAAACCAUAAGCCCAUAUUCUGGUAUUUCAGUAUUUCAUCUCUUACCCUCCCCCUAUUCCUCACUGGAAUUCAUACAAUCCUAGAAAUUGAACACCACCAUGAAACAAUCAUCCAAACAUAUUAUUCCACUUUCAGGCUUAAGAAAAUGAGGUUAAAGACACAGGCCCCCCACCCAAACCUUUAGCGAGUUUUAGACCAAAUAUAUGUGAAGGGCCUUUUCCAAAAGGAAUAGUAACUAGAAGCCAAAAAUAAAGCACUGAAAUAAAAUCCCACUUUGAAUUAUGUAUAAGCAAAGUACAUUAGUAAAAUCCAAAUGUACUUUAGGAAUAGAGAUCUGCUAUUUGCUAGGAUUGGAAUUUCAUUAUUGAAAAGGAAGGGAAAAAACAGAAGUAAUAAAAUUAGUUGUACUUAGUAUUGAUGACAAACACGCUCCAUAUUUGAUGAUUGUCUCCUGAGUCCAUCAGUACAGUUGGAGCUGCUUUUAAUGGGUUAAAACUCAUUAAGAGGAGAGUUGUCUCUUGAGCUGAGGUGUUGGAACAUGAAAGUCUGAUUAUUUUUCCUUCUUUUGUUUAUUCAUUCAUUUGUUCAUCAUGAAACUCAUUCUCUGCCUGGUACUGAGGAAGGAUGUUAAUGCAAGAACCACCCCUACUCUUGAGGGCCUUCCCAGUUUCCUUCAGGAUUUAAGGUACCUCUUGUCAUAGGUAUCCUUCACUAGAUGAUUAUAGAAGAUAUUUAACCAGUGGUUCUCUUUGAAUUUCAAAGGAGCAUCACUGCGUCCUGUCGGGGUAAUCAGGGAUGAAUUCUCGAAGAGCACUGAUUUGAUUUUUUUUUUCUUUUUAUGAAUGACUUUUAAUUAAAAAAUUUUUUUUCAUUUAAAAAAUUACUGUUUAUUAAGUGGUUCCUAUAGAAAUAACUUCUUUUCAAGGUCACUUUUUUAAAGGUGGAAAUGGGCAGGACAGAGGCAUUGCAGAAGAGGGGGGAGAAUGGGGAUAAGUAUAUGGGAGAUUCCAAUAAUAUUCAUUGAGAAAGAAAAUCCUUUGGAGUAAGAGGAAAAGAGUAAUUUGGAGCUACCUAGUGGAG
ensembl:lncRNA